UACGAAGGGGGCUAGCGUUGCUCGGAAUCACUGGGCGUAAAGGGCGCGUAGGCGGCCGAUCAAGUCGGAGGUGAAAGCCCAGGGCCCAACCUUGGAAUUGCCUUUGAUACUGGCUGUCUUGAGUUCGGGAGAGGUGAGUGGAAUGCCGAGUGUAGAGGUGAAAUUCGUAGAUAUUCGGCGGAACACCAGUGGCGAAGGCGACUCACUGGCCCGAUACUGACGCUGAGGCGCGAAAGCGUGGGGAGCAAACAGG
rnacentral:rRNA from 1 species